rnacentral:rRNA from 1 species
UAAGCAUAUCAAUAAGCGGAGGAAAAGAAACUAACAAGGAUUCCCCUAGUAACUGCGAGUGAAGCGGGAAAAGCUCAAAUUUGAAAUCUGGCAGUUCUUGAACUGUCCGAGUUGUAAUCUAGAGAAGUGUUACCUGUGCUGGACCGUGUACAAGUCUUCUGGAAUGAAGCAUCACAGAGGGUGAGAAUCCCGUCUUUGACAUGGACUGCCUGCAUGUUAUGGUAUGCUCUCAAAGAGUCGAGUUGUUUGGGAAUGCAGCUCAAAAUGGGUGGUAAAUGCCAUCUAAAGCUAAAUAUUGGCGAGAGACCGAUAGCGAACAAGUACCGUGAGGGAAAGAUGAAAAGUACUUUGGAAAGAGAGUUAAACAGUACGUGAAAUUGCUGAAAGGGAAACGCUUGAAGUCAGUCACGUUGGCUAGAAAUCAGCCUUGCUUUUGCUUGGUGUACUUUCUGGUUGAUGGGUCAGCAUCAAUUUUGACCACUGGAUAAAGUCGUUGGGAAUGUGGCAUCUUAGGAUGUGUUAUAGCCCAUUGUCGCAUACGGUGGUUGGGAUUGAGGAACUCAGCACGCCCACAAUGGCCGGGUUUCGACCACGUUCGUGCUUAGGAUGCUGGCAUAAUGGCUUUAAUCGACCCGUCUUGAAACACGGACCAAGGAGUCUAACAUGCCUGCGAG